AUUGAACGCUGGCGGCAGGCCUAACACAUGCAAGUCGAGCGGAUGAAGGGAGCUUGCUCCUGGAUUCAGCGGCGGACGGGUGAGUAAUGCCUAGGAAUCUGCCUGGUAGUGGGGGAUAACGUCCGGAAACGGGCGCUAAUACCGCAUACGGCCUGAGGGCUAAAGUGGGGGAUCUUCGGACAUCACGCUAUCAGAUGAGCCUAGGUCGGAUUAGCUAGUUGGUGGGGUAAAGGCCUACCAAGGCGACGAUCCGUAACUGGUCUGAGAGGAUGAUCAGUCACACUGGAACGGAGACACGGUCCAGACUCCGACGGGAGGCAGCAGUGGGGAAUAUUGGACAAUGGGCGAAAGCCUGAUCCAGCCAUGCCGCGUGUGUGAAGAAGGUCUUCGGAUUGUAAAGCACUUUAAGUUGGGAGGAAGGGCAGUAAGUUAAUACCUUGCUGUUUUGACGUUACCAACAGAAUAAGCACCGGCUAACUUCGUG
rnacentral:rRNA from 1 species